rnacentral:lncRNA from 1 species
GGAAGAUGGAGCGCCUGCGAUGGGAACGGAGAGGUAUUCCUGCAGAUAUGCUGGCAGAUACGGGCUCGUCUUAUCUUCAGACACGUCCUUCAAGAGAAGAAGUAGGGAGGAGGAUGAAAACGGCGGACCAUAACGUGGAGCGUCCUGUUGAGGAAAAAAAAGCAUGGGGGAAGAGAGGUGCCCUCCGCCUGAGGAGGGGACCCCGUGCGUGGCGGUGAGAUUGGGCUUAGCCCUCGAGUUUUCGAGGGUUCCCCUUGCGUGCGGGUGCAGCUGGGGUGCCCUCCGCCUGAGGAGGGGACCCCGUGCGUGGCGGUGAGAUGGGGCUUAGCCCUCGAGUUUUCGAGGGUUCCCCUUGCGUGCGGGUGCAGCUGGGGUGCCCUCCCCCUCAGGACGGGACCCCGUGCUUGGGGCAUGAGCCCCUAGUGAAGGGGUCUCUGCCCUGAAUGCCUGUCUGUGGGUACCUGUUGCUUGUUGCUUUUCCAGCUGCUCUGUCUGCUCCGUAGCUGCCGUGGUCUUGCUGCUGUUUGGGCUCUGGCUCUGCUAGCGUCUUCAUGCCCAUCUGCUGGCUGAGGUCCAUGUGGAUGUGUCCUAGACUGAGCUUCUACCUGGCCUUGCUCUUUGUCUGUAAGAUCUCUUGUUUCACAAGCUCUGUUUGUUCAACUUUCUGAUAUCUCGGUAAAAAGAAAUAGAAGCGCAAGUUAUUUACUUGCAACUUGUGUCUUCUGCGGUUCUGCAUCGUUCUUUCAGCCUACUCCCUCCCAUCUUUAUUUUCUAUUAGCUGUCCGUUACUAUCUUGCCCGUACUGACCGAAUUAUGAUUUGACCACACUUACUUUUACAGUAAGCUGUACGUUUGCAGAAGCUUGCAGAGCUUUCCAUGAAAAAGAGCGGUGCCACAGCUCCUGAGGAGGAAACCGGGACGGAGAUCAGGUUCGGGAUCCCUGAGCCGAGCCCCAGCACCGCCUCCUCUCUCGCUCAACGGGCGAAGCAGACGGGCAGCGACCAAAGCUGCCGAUCGCCUUAAGGCCGGAGGCAGUGCCGGCACUCGGGAGGAUGGGAGAGCCCGGGGCCACUCGGCUCGAAGCGCUUCCCGCCCGCCCGGCCCGUUUCCCCACCUGGCAGCGCGGCGUCGGGUCGGCUCCGGGUGCGGCACGCCGGCUUCUGAGCGGCGUCACGGCAAGAAAGCCGCUAGCAACGGCACGCGUUCUAACGGGCUGCC